AACGCGAAGAACCUUACCCAGGUUAGAAGUGCAAAGGACGACAUCAGAGAUGGUGUUUCCCGCAAGGGUCUUUGUAUAGGUGCUGCAUGGCUGUCGUCAGCUCGUGCCGUGAGGUGUUGGGUUAAGUCCCGCAACGAGCGCAACCCUUAUCAUUAGUUGCCAACACGCGAGGUGGGGACUCUAAUGAGACUGCCUAGGUUAACUAGGAGGAAGGUGAGGAUGACGUCAAGUCCGCAUGGCCUUUAUGUCUGGGGCAACACACGUGCUACAAUGGCCGGUACAGAAGGCAGCGAAAUCGUAAGAUGGAGCAAAUCCCAAAAGCCGGUCCCAGUUCGAAUUGUAGUCUGCAACUCGACUACAUGAAGCCGGAAUUGCUAGUAAUGACGUGUCAGCUACAACGUCGUGAAUACGUUCCCGGGCCUUGUACACACCGCGUGUCU
rnacentral:rRNA from 1 species